AAAAAUCACAGUUUGAAUGUAUCAUUUAUAUCUCUCUACCUUUUUUGGACUCCACAGUAGGAAUUCAGUUGAAGCUUUGUUAAGUAAAAUCACAGCUAAAUCAACUCAAUAAUCUUCUGCUGAGCAAAUAAUCAGAUAUGAUUUUCUAAAACAGCAGUCUGGAGAUUCAGAAUAGAAAAUAAUUGCAUUUUUCUUUAAGUACAAGGGGAUUCUCUUAUGUAACUUUGUCAUGUUGAAAACAACAUGUUUAGGUAAGUCUAGUAGUGUAUUUCUACUACAAUACAAAAAGCACAGGAAACCUAAAGAAACCAAACCAUACAGUAAGACUUUUAAGUGCCUCCUCUCCCCUAAAACAAUGGGAAAGUACCCUGCUAAUAUGCCACCAAUAAGGCAUUUUUCAAAAUGACACAUUUUUUAAUUAACCUAAAUGUAGUAACUAACCAUCAUUAGAAACUUGGUAUAUGUAUUGAAAAUAAAUACACAAAAAAGUUAAUCUACGUCCUUACUUAGUUUAGUGACCCUCAAACAUGCUAGGUCUCUGGGUGUUACUGUACGUCUUUUCACAAGUUUCAGCUUAAAAAUAUGCAGUACGUUGCAUUAGCGUAGAUGUUUGGGAUUAGGCACAUCAGCUUUGUUUAGAUUGUUCAAGCUUGACUGUGUCACUUAACAUAUCCCAUAACUCACUCUUUGCUUUAACUGAAUACUGCAAUCAGCAAAACCUGAAGUAAUUCUCUGAUUAGUUGCUUUCUGUUCACCCUAAACAUACCCUCUUUGGUUGGUCACAUUAGUAAAUUUCCAUACCAGUUCAUUCACUAGCCUUCCUGUCAAUGAAUUAGCAAUACUGCAUAAGGUAAAUCUAGAAGGUAAAAUUAGAAGGCACAUAAAACUGAGCGUCGAACAGAUGAUUACCAAUACUUCAGUGAACUAAUUGCAAAUGAUAAAAUUAACUUAGUCUUAUGGAAAAUAUUGAUCCCGCUUUGCGGUUUUAAGAGUUUCUUAGUUGUGGAGAAGAAUAAAACUCAUAAAUUUUUAACAUGGAAAAGCAUGGAAAGUGAUUGGAAAUUUUUAUUAUGGAAAAUAUGAAAUAGCACCUUCUCAAAACAAGUCAGCUUCACCUUUUCCUUAGUUUUCCUGUAUAACGCUUUGUUCACAGAAACAAACAGGCCUUUAUGUAAAACAAGAAUGAAGAAGAUAAAACUUCGGAAAUGGUUUAAGGAGCCCCUGCGUUUCUUCACAAGUUUCUUAUUUUGCCAGGCAAAGGAAUUUUUUAAUGAGAUACCUUUUAGUCUUUCCUUGAGUUUAUGUGAUCUAUUAAGUAGGGGCUUAUUUUUUUUUCCCUGCACAUACAUUUUUACCAAAAGAGUUUUUUCUUUGUAUGCGUUACAGUGUAAUUAUAAGCUCACUGAUAUUAAUGAACAUAUAUGUGCUCUUGCAUCUACAGUUUUGCUUAUUUCAAAUUUAAAAGACUAAUCGAAGAGAAGAAACAAUUAAAAGUUCCAGCUCCCUGGUAUAUCUAUACAUGCUUGUUAACACACAUGCAUGUGUGCCAGUACAGAACCAAAACCAAGCCCUGUAUGAGGAAGCUGAAUGGAGACAAGUGCAAAUUCUCAAAGAAAGACUUCACCAUACCAAAGAAAUCAAAACUUUAGAGCUGAUCAAAGCCUGUACUCCCCCUUUUAUUCAAAGGUGGGAAGAGCCACUGCCUAACAAAGAAAGGUAAUUAACUUCGCCGGUAUUUUCCCCUUGGUGUCUCAGGGCACUGUAUACGCUUCAGUGUGUACUGGAUACCUAACAACUCCCAUAAGCGUGAUUAGACAAACAGAGGAACACAACUUGUCCAAAUCUAUACAGGAAAUCUGCAAGAAAACUAAGAGGGAGCCCCUACUGUUACAGUCAUGUAUAAGGACUAGAGUCAGGAUCACGAACAGACAGGCAUGAAGGCAUUACCUGCCUUCAAGAGCACAGCGCAAACUGAUCUUCUAGAAAUAAACCCUUCAGGCAUUCUUUGCUCACAACACUGGAAAGAGGUGAGCAAAAUCAUUUCCUCUUUUACAUAAAAAGCUAAUCUGAAUGCGUGAUAUUACUGAUUUUUGUGCAUUUCUGUCCAACUGACUGCAGUUGAGCUUUAAAGCUCAGAUCAGCAGAUGGGAGCAGGCCUGUCAGAGAGAGGCCUACUCAAGAUCGGUUCCAACACACAACCACACACAAACUUCUGAGUUAGUUUCCAUAUGCUUUUUAAGAGGUGAAAUCAGCACUAGGUUUAAAAAACAAACACACAGACCAGGUAUGCUUAAAAGGAAAGCAAACUAGGCUAAAAAUAAAUUUAUGAGUUCUGCUUCUGUGCUUAUUAAUGGCAUCAAGGAGACACAUUCAUGGCUCCAUCUGCUAUGUUUUAGUUGCAAGAUGGUACUACUUUAACAAGGACAGCUAACAAAUCACUGUUACUCCUCUUUUAUGCAUGUAUACAAGCUACAUUAAACAUACCCACAGAACCCUGUGACUAAAGUGAUUUCUGAAUCAAGUUAUUUCUGUUUUGGUCUCCUUUUAAUUGUGGUGAGGGAACAGUAAUUUAAAUUCAUCCUGGCUUGUGAGGAAAUGCCUCCAUGAAGCUUUUUUACAUAUAUUAGUUUUUCUAUAACCAAAGGGUUCAGCAAACACUAGAAAGUAAGUCCACCGCAUAAAUGAAAGCACAGUAAAAAACACAGUCCUAUUUUACAACCCUUUAUGUGCAGACUGGGGCCAGGCACGACACAAGCAGACCAGGCUGCUUUGCAGUAGUCUUAAAAGAUGCGGGUGACAAUGUGUGAGCAAACAAUAACACUCCUUCCCACACUAUAAAAUUAAGUAAGAUAUUUCUCCGGGCUAAUACAAACAAGGGAGACAAAAACAGUAAAAACCAAAACCAAACACUGAACCUCACCUAACACAGGUCUGAAAAAACUCUUAACUUCUCAGAAGUGUCCUUGGCUUAUUAGGAGCUAAAGCUAAAACUGUGGAGCCACCAGUGUGCUUUCUGGUAGAGGGCAUCUUCCUUUCGUUGGUGUGACUGGCUGUGGAGUCGUGCUUGUUAGAGAUGUGACUGUGCCCACUGUGAUCAAACUGUUUACUUGACUUGUGAGAUGGUCUGUGAAGAAGCUCGCUGAAUCAUCUCAUGCAGGUGAAAAGGUCUGGAGAUGACAUUGUGUCAUGAGUUGACAGCGAGUUAGAUAUAGGAAUCCUGUAAAAAUAGCUGAUUGCUAGGACUUCUAACAACUAGUCUUUCAGCAUUCAUCCAUCAGCUAACUAAAAAUAAGUUCAAAGCUAUGUUUCAUCAUCUGUUUCUUAUUCUUUCUGAAACAAGUCAAAUACAGUACCUUGCUAUUUUUGAAUAUGACUAUGUGUCAAGCUUAUUUUCUGGAAUUUACAUUUUGACAGGAAAAAAACCCUAAAACUUUUCCAGAUGACACUUGUUUAAAACUGAAACAUUUAUCUUUUGUAAAAUUCAGUCUCAGAAAAGGUUUUUGCUACAUAUUGGAAUUAAUUGUAUGCUGAUAUCAUACUUAUUUUUGUGUGUUAAGACAGGUUGUUAAGUUUUCUGCAGCUACAGGUACUUAAAAUUAUAUUAAGGACUUGCACAAAACAGGCUCCAUAAAUAAAGACUCACAAAAGCAUUUUUAAAGUAUUUUUUCAUGGUCUUUAGAAUUCUCAAAGAACAAUGUUUUCAAGCAAACAGGCUACAGUUUAUUCCUGCUUCUUACUUCUCAGAAAAGUUCUUAAUGCAUUAAUAAUUUCUUCUUUUUAAGAUAGUAUUUAAGGAAAGCAUUGAGAUAGUUCAGUUGACUCAGAGGUGGGGCAUUAAAUCUGGAAACUCAAACCAUUCAAUGAAGAGUGAAAAGAGGGUUUUUAGUCUUCAUAAAGUACAACCUGAGUGCAACCUUAGCUUGACAGCUGUUGGUGCAUCUCUACAAUAUUCAUACAAUUAAAUAAAUAGAAGAGCUGUAAAUAGAAUUUUUCUGAAGCGUAUGUGAGCAUCAAUUAUACUGAAUUGCAGAAGGAUAUCACACCAAGAUUUCUACAACAUUUUGUCAAUUUGCUUUUAUAACAAAGAGCACUCCAAUUUCUUAUCACGCUUAACUGAGAUCAAUUUAACAGAAUCAAUUCUGCUUCUAUUAAACAACCAGGGGGCAAUAUAAUUCUGGAUUUCAAUUACUAAAUGCCUAGCUUACAGCAAGCUCUCCUACCCCACGUUAUUACCCCCACUCUCAGCCAAGAAAUGAGAAAAACCUAUAGCUGAAACUCAUUUUCAGUUCUGUCUGUACUUCUUAUGAAGCAAUGCGUGUAACACUUUGUUGUUGCCAGAGUAUUUCCUCUAAUGAGCAUGGGCAAAGGACUCCUCUUGGGAGAACAAUGCUAGCUGUAACACACCGUCCAGCAGACCUCCAUUAAAAUGUCUAAAGCACAUUUUUCAAAUUACCCAACAUUAGAGAACAGUAUGUUAAAGCCUCUUUUCAUAACAACUGUGAUUAAAUACCACUUUUUCUACAACAGUUUCAGCGGCAGGAAGGACAGACCAUAAUAUUGUGAUUGCCAGUAUCACUAAAAAUAGCACUUUUACAUCUAUCUACUCAUGAUGCAUACUCUUGACAGUAACUCCUCAAUUUAUCGAUAAAAGCUUUCACUGCUGUCACCACUACAGAUGAACAAACUGAAGUAUUCUUUGCAAUCAAUUAAGUUUCUAACUAGGUUUUUAUUAUGGAAUACAUAUGGAAAACAAAGAGAUAAGAAGCACUAAUAUUGUAACCAAUAUUCCCACCUGCAGCAAGGGAAAUUAUAGCAACCAUUUGCGCUUACAUAGUGGUUGCUGUUAUACAUUGUUACAAAUUGAAGUAGACUAUUCGAUUAAAAAUACACAAAAAAGAAGUAGAUUCUUCAUGGUGCCAUUUUAAUUACAACCUUUAAACCUUCAUUUUAACUAAUGCUCAUUUUGUGUGUCAUCAAACCAGAAUAUCCAGAAUACAUUUGGAGUUUUGUAGAGCUUUCCUAUCCCAAGAACACGUUCUGGUGUGGGAUAUCUUCUAGUUUACAGACGUGAUUGUUUUAAUCUAAAAUAUCAGAUCAUACCAUUCGACAUCUCAUGAUUUCCUAAUGGAGAGGCAACUUAUAUGAACAUAAAUGUGAAAAAGCACACUGGCUGAUAUGCUAGCCAUUCAUCAGUAUACUUCACACUCAGUAUACUCCCCUCUAUCAAUGUUUGAAGUCACCUAUGAAUCAAGAACAAGAUACUCUCAAGACUUAUUCUUUAUAGCCACAUAAUUUUUGUUAACAAAGCAGACCUAAGCAUGUUGUCAUCAUUCUUUCUUAUGUGCAUUUUGGACAACACGAUGCCAUAAUUCUUCCAAAUUGAAAUUUGAUUUUCUAUGUGACAACAAUAUUAAAGUCACGCUCUGCUGUUGAAUCAAUCAAUCAAUCAAAUUGGCAACUACCACUCAGACUUUAAAACCCCCUCAUUAGUGAUCCUUAAACAAAACAAACAGGAUUUUAUUGAAUUAUCCAUUAAAGAUGAUCUGCACAUCCUAAGCUCACAAAUGAUACAACUGAACUGCAAACAGCUCUUUCACAUUAACUAGGUGUUGUAAAACCAUGCUGCUGGUGGGUUUUAGCUUAGCACCAUCGCAAGAAGGAUGAAUAUAGCCUGAAUUCAGAAUGUUACCUUCUCUGUGUGGUAGCAAAUGCCUAACAUUUGGAUACGAGGCUUUUUAGGUUUUGCUUCAAAACAAACUAAUUUUCAAAUUCACAUGGACAGGCUUGUCAAUAAUAUAUCCAUACAGUUUUUGUGCUCUCCACACAGUUUGAUAUGUUCUUUUUCAGAUGACAUAAAAUGAACUGAGCAUAAUCACACUGCAUCUUCUGUGAACUUUUAUUGUGGUUACGACAGAGAUAAGAAUAGACAUUUCUUAUUUAUCUAAAUGACAAGGAGUUAUUAUCACAAUUAUGUGACCAUGAUCCUGGUCUUGAAGAACCCAGCAAAUUUAUGCUGCCUCCACUAAUUCAUAACCGAUCAUUUUUUACUGAUAAUUUUUCCAUCUAUUUCAGAGAUGACUGCAUUCAGACCAUAUUUACACUUCAAAGCAACUGCUGCAGUUGGCAUUGAGACGAAUGAAUGCAAAAACUGGCUUUUAAUUAGCUUUUCUUCGAAGUAGCUGCAGUUUAGCUGAAUUUAACACUUUGCCAUGCUUUUGUCAUAGGCUAUUUCAGAGAAUCUUGAAUUUCCUUUUUACUUUUUUAAGAAGUAAAAACCAUUUAAUUUAUCAAGCUGCUAUAGCAAUCCAUAUUUAUCGCUCAAAUGCCAAGCAAAAGACUUCUAAUAGAAAUCUGUAUUUUAUGCAUUCACACCAAAUACAGAGGCUUCUUCUGAAGCAUAAAUGGAGGAUUAUUCUAAAAUGUGUCAGUUCUUGAACUAUGUGGAGAUUUUGUUAGGGCUCCUACUGUUCACAAUCAAAGGUCUCAGCUGCAGAUCAUAAAGGAAAGUUUUAUACACUAUGCAUUUCUACAGAUGACCAUUAAUACAAAUGGUCACAGCAUAUUCAAGUACCUUCUCUUUGUUAAUACAGAUUAAAGAGAACACUUAAAUCCAUUCCUGUGUUCCCAAUACAAUGUAAAUUUUUAUCUGUUGAAAAACAAAAUGGUACCAUACUUGUCACUGAAAAAAUGCAGUGAGAUUACAGACAUAAUAAUGUAGACAGAGAUUUCAUUUCUCUUGGCUCAAUAUGGUUGAUAAUUUCAACAAUUACCAUGGAAAGGAAUUUUACAUCCCAAAAAGCUCAGAUCAUCAAGUGACAGACACAAGCACAGUUAGCUCAGGUAUACUCAAAAAAAUGCCAUUUCUUGGCAUUAACUGAGGUGUGUUUCUUUUUUUUUUUUUUUUUUCAAAAAAAAUCUUGGUAGAACAUCAGACUCUGGAUAUCCAGUCACAUUUUUACUAUUAUUUGCCUGAAUUAUCCUUAACAUUUAAAUCAUUUUACAGUACUUGCUUUCACUGUGAUUUCACUGGAGGAAUUAUGUAUGCAGCCAGUGGACUGCAAAACAUUUGAAGGAUUUCAUACUAGAGAAGAAUGCCCAGAACUUUCCAAGUUUAGGUUUCAUAGGCCAACAACGUAAGUUUUUUGUUGUUGUUGUUUUUUAAAUGUUAGUAUCCCAAUUGUUCUAACUAGAGCAUUCACAAAAUUACCUCCCCAUCUGAGACACUGGCCUUCUUUCAUAACAUAGUAAUGCCUUGUUUCAUAAGACAGUAAUAAAUUGUUUCCUAGUAGUUUUGUUGUUGUUGUUGUUCAAAACAGAUAUAAUUUAAGUUGUACGCGUUUAAGCUUUCAUAUCUUUUUAGUAAUUUCUUCCCUCCGCCCCCUUCAAAAUGGCGGAAGAAGAUAGAUUGCUUGCAGAAAAAAAAAAAAGUAUUUAGUUCAUCCAACCAAGGCAGUUACCGGCAAUGUUGAAGUGAAUUAACAAAAUUACUUCAAAACCUUUUUGCACAUAAAACCUAUGAGUCCCUGUUCUAAUAAAGUCAAAGGUUUUUUUAGGCCUAUCAAACAAAAAGUAUCGAAAAGCACAAAAAAACCAGAUGUUGCUGAUUAAUAAUCUAAAAAAAAAUGUACAAGCAAACUUUCAGAGGCUACUGACAUGUUUUUCUCCUGGUAUACAUUACAUAUUUUAUACAUGCAUAUACAUGCAGUUGCAUAAAGUCAGAACCACAACAGGUAUUUUCAUCUUGUCUGAACUUUGAAAGUUAGGAUUCUAUCAGUAAAAAAAAAAACA